rnacentral:lncRNA from 1 species
GGUUUUUGAUAUGAGACUUGAAGGAAAUGAAUGAUUCUAAGAAGUAGGUGUGAGGAAGAAUGGUAUUCGGUGGCUAACACACAGUAGAACUUUAUUGCUUUUUGAACUGAAUUGAUAGAAUCUAUAGAAAGUUGAUGGUCAUUUAAUUUUUUCCAGGACAGCAACAGUGGAGAAAAAAAUAGAAACAGUAUUGAAGGUUGGUUUGUGGUUGCAACUUUUCAAUUCCACGUUGUAGAAAUGCACAAAAGAUCAUGUAGACCUUGUGUUACUGUUACUGAAGAGGGGAAAAAAAAAAGGUCUUGAAAAAUCCCCUGCAGUAUUGAAACCUGCAGAAUAGCAAAUUUUCAUUUCCUUAGAAUUUAUCUGUCCAUUUCUCUCCUCUCAUAUUUGAAGUGAUGUUUUUUUGUGUGUAUUCUGUUUGCCCUUUGUAGUGAGGGAAGAGGAAAUGGAACAAUCAAGGACAGUCAGAUUAGCCUGACCUUUUGGCCCCAUGACUUAUUUGCCAUUUGGUGUCUAUUUGGAAAUGUUUGCUCUUGGAGAGAAGGCCCAUAAUCUUAAGUGCCUUCUUCAGCCACCUUCCUGACCACUGACCCAAAUUAUUCUCAUCUGACUAUUCUAAGGGGGGAAAUCUUCACAUGGUUGGGGUACGUAUAUACAAGCUUAAUAUAUACUUGCCAACUUGGCUUGUUGACCGUGCUUCCUUUCCAAAACCAGAUUAGCAGGGUUCUGAAGAAAGCCUGAGUUCAUCCUAAUGGCCAAAGAACUAACAAUGGAGCUGAUUAAUAUGAGCACUCACAUUUCUGU